rnacentral:rRNA from 1 species
GAUGAACGCUGGCGGCGUGCCUAAUACAUGCAAGUCGAGCGAACAGAUGAGGAGCUUGCUCCUCUGACGUCAGCGGCGGACGUGUGAGUAACACGUGCAUAACUUACCUAUAAGACUGGGGUAACUACGGGAAACCAGAGCUAAUACCGGAUAAUCUAUUGAACCGCAUGGUUCAAUAGUCACAGACGGUUUUGCUGUCACUUAUAGAUGGACCCGAGCCGCAUUAGCUAGUUGGUAAGGUAACGGCUUACCAAGGCACCGAUGCGUAGCCGACCUGAGAGGGUGAUCGGCCACACUGGAACUGAGACACGGUCCAGACUCCUAAGGGAGGCAGCAGUAGGGAAUCUUACGCAAUGGGCGAAAGCCUGACGGAGCAACGCCGAGUGAGUGAUGAAGGUCUUCGGAUCGUAAAACUCUGUUAUUAGGGAAGAACAACUGUGUGAGUAACUAUGCACGUCUUGACGGUACCUAAACAGAAAGCCACGGCUAACUACGUG